CGUGGAUCCAUGAAUGAUGUUUUACGGUUAUUAUGAUCGAUGAAGAAUUGUUUACCGGAUUGAUCGAGUUUGGUCUCCCAGCAUGAAGUGUGCAGCAUAGAGUAGAAGUCUGGACGACAGAGCAUUAUAACAGCUGGAUGUACCGAAAUAUUGAGCAUUUGUAGAUGGCCUAAAUUAUUAUUACUAGAGCCAGAAGCAUUCGAGAGCCGAUUUUCGCUGGUAAUGGUACGUCG